GUACGGACAACGAAGUUAACUUGAUCAACAUUACCUGGAAGUGGAGCUCAGGCAUGUGAUUAAGGUGUUUAUUACCUGAAUUAAUGUACUGAGACGAUGAUAAGGAUUGUUUGAUGUGGAGCUCUCUCCCCCUUCACCCCCCCUCUCUGGCUCAGUGAGCCCCAUCAUAGUGUCCUUCGUUGGGGCAGUGAGCAGCUCAGAAGGGUCCUCUGUGGUCCUGCCAUGCAGAGCAGUGGGGGACCUCCCCAUCAGGUACACCUGGACCAGAGGACACUCUCAGACCUCAAUCACCCCAACCCUGGAGAGGCAUGUAGAUGAUGAGGGGGCUCUGCAUAUCUCCAGUGUUCAGUUAUCUGAUGCAGGGGUCUACCACUGUGCCGCUGAGAACAGAGCGGGACAACAGCAAAGAAGAGCCACCCUCACCAUCUCUGCUGAAGAUGACCCGGCUGAUAGGGACAAGCAGCAUAGACAGAUUGUGUCUGCAGUUCCAAACAUUGAAGCAGAGCAGAGAACUCCCCUGUCCAGUAACGUCCUGAGUCUAGCUCAGCGUUCUGAGAUAACCCAAUUACAGGCAGGAAGCACAGGUGUGUAUAGCCCAAAACUUAAAUCAUAG
rnacentral:lncRNA from 8 species